AGAACCUCCCGGCGGACAAGAAGCUGGGAGGCGCGCAGAACCAUCGUCAGUCCCCGAGGCUCUCUGCAGUCCGCGUGAGUCCUGGCCAAGGUCUGGCCUCGGAAGCUACGAGCUACAAUCUUCCUUCAUCCUACCCACCCACGAAGAGCGCCACCCCAGCUGCAGACCAAGUGACCAGCCCAGUUAGAAGGGGCUCGGCCGGAUCAAACCUCGGUGCUGCCUCAAAGCAUCUGCUGAAGCUCUUCCUCGACCAACUGAACUUCCUCACUGAGUGGUUCUUACUAGAAAAUUAUAAGCCCAGUCUGACAGUCUCUGAAAGAAUGUCAGUGUUUUACUGUAAAGCCAAAGAUGGGGGAAGAAGCAGUUUUGGGGGUUUCCUGAUCAGCUUUUAUUCAAGCCCUUAAAUCUGUGAAUAUGCGAUGUUAAUGCCACCUUACAUUUGUAUUAGAUUAGCAGUAUGCAACUGGCUUUCCAAACCGUGGUCCUACUGAUAGUAAUGUAGUUGUAAAACGUACAUAGGAUAAUUUGCCUCCUACACAGUGUGUAAAUAGCAAACAACAUCUCUUUACUUGGAUUUUUUAAAAUUCCAAUAAAUUCAAUUUAUUUUAAUGUAAACAAAAGUGAUAACACGCAAACUUCCUGCCUUUGACACAAUUCUAUUUGUAAUUGCACUUUGUAAUAUGAAAACUUGAAAACAUUUGGAGUAAAUGAUGGCAUAACAAUAUGGUGGAAUAUAAGCGAUUAAAAUUAAAAAUUGUGACUACAUAUACAGAAAUAUGGUGUACCAUUGAGUUUUACUUCCAGCUGGCGUUAGACUACAACUUAAUAUUGCUACUCUAAAAAAUCGUGGAUACAGAUCUAAAGUAAAUAAAAUUUGGUUAAGAGCUAGACAUAUAAGUAAGUUUUUAAAGUUUCGCAGUGUAUACUUAAAUAGUAUUGUGAUUGGUGACAGCUGUCAUGUGGAACUUUGAAGAUUUUUCAUGUAAUGCUGAUUCAAACGUGUAUGCCUAUGUGCAGGAUGUAUAAAUUGCCUAGUAGAUAUAUUAAAUUAAGAUUAAAUGCUUUUCAAGAGUGUGAAAUAAAAAGGGCAUACAUACAAGUAGAGAAUGAUUGGGACUU
rnacentral:lncRNA from 1 species